rnacentral:rRNA from 1 species
NUGACCUCGGAUCAGGUAGUC